rnacentral:rRNA from 1 species
UACGGAGGGUGCAAGCGUUAUCCGGAUUUACUGGGUUUAAAGGGUGCGUAGGUGGGUGAAUAAGUCAGUGGUGAAAGCCUGUAGCUUAACUAUAGAAUUGCCAUUGAAACUGAAAGUCUCGAGUGUGGUUGAGGUAACUGGAAUAUAUCAUGUAGCGGUGAAAUGCUUAGAUAUGAUAUAGAACACCAAUUGCGAAGGCAGGUUACUGAGCCAUUACUGACGCUGAGGCACGAAAGCGUGGGGAUCAAACAGG